UACGGGGGGGGCAAGCGUUGUUCGGAAUUACUGGGCGUAAAGGGCUCGUAGGUGGCCACUUAGGUCAGAGUUGAAAUCCCUCGGCUUAACCGGGGAACUGCGUCUGAUACUGGAUGGCUUGAGAUUGGGAGAGGGAUGCGGAAUUCCAGGUGUAGCGGUGAAAUGCGUAGAUAUCUGGAGGAACACCGGUGGCGAAGGCGGCAUCCUGGACCAACACUGACACUGCAGCGCGAAAGCUAGGGGAGCAAACGGG
rnacentral:rRNA from 1 species